AACAAACGCUGGCGGCGUGCCUAACACAUGCAAGUCGUACGAGAAAGGGUCCUUCGGGGCCUGAGUAAAGUGGCGCACGGGUGAGUAACGCGUGGAUAAUCUGCCCUUCAGUUGGGAAUAACUCAUCGAAAGGUGGGCUAAUACCGAAUAAUGCUGUGAGACCUCGGUUGAUCAGCCAAAGAGAGCCUCUGCUUGCAAGCCCUCGCUGAAGGAUGAGUCCGCGUACCAUUAGCUAGUUGGUAGGGUAAUGGCCUACCAAGGCGACGAUGGUUAGCUGGUCUGAGAGGAUGAGCAGCCACACUGGAACUGAGACACGGUCCAGACUCCUACGGGAGGCAGCAGUGAGGAAUCUUGCGCAAUGGGGGCAACCCUGACGCAGCAACGCCGCGUGAGUGAGGAAGGUCUUCGGAUCGUAAAGCUCUGUCGGAUGGAAAGAACCGCAUAGGGGUAAACAGCCCCUGUGUCUGACGGUACCAUCGAAGGAAGCACCGGCUAACUCCGUGCCAGCAGCCGCCGUAACAC
rnacentral:rRNA from 1 species